AGCAGAUUUGUUGAGCUUUUCUAGCCUUCUUUUCGGUUGGGUUGCUGCUUUGUUCACGUUAACGCUUGCUUGCCUUACGCUGCUGGUAUGUGCAUGUAUUAUUGGUCUGCAAGAUUAAUGGUUGUCUUCUUCUUGCUAUGUUGAACUGUGAGACCAGCUUCUCUUUUUUUUUUUUCCAUUUGUUUUUUAACCAACCAGCAAGGGUGUUGCUUGCUAAGAAAUUGUAUUCAAAUUCGUUUCUGCUGUAUUUUCUUCCCUUUUGAUGGUUGUUGAAUUUGUGCUUUAGAUUCCCAUCUUUAUUUAUUUAGCCAAUUCAUGUUGCAAUUUAUAUUUGUUCUUUUGAUGGCUUCCUCUUUUCAUUCUGGUCAUUCAUUUAUUUGUUUUUACACUGUCAUCAAAUAUGUAACAUUUAGUCAUAAAUUUUCAUAACUGAAAAAAAUGAACGAGCGUACCUUUUUGUUGCACAACAGAUAACAUUUAGUCAACAACUUACAAUUAUUUAUUUACAAAUACACAAAAAUCAUUAGAUGUCAACCUUGAAUAAGUUUCUUAGACCAAACCCUCUGCAAAAUUGUUUCAUAUUAAAAGAAUUGUUUAGCUAAUGGAGAAUCCUUCUUGGGUAGUUCAUAUUUAUUUUUCUCACACCAUUGCAGUAUAAGAUUCCUGAGUGCAAAAUUCGGCGCUAAAGAUAAAUGAUCCAAAAUUUGGCCAAUCUUCGGUCAGGUUCGAUGAUUAGAAUUUAGCCACUUCUGUAUGCUCUCUCUUUCAUAAGUCUUUUAAAACAAAAACAAAAAUCUGGUUCAGCUUCUAUAGCAUAAUAACGGCAAUAUUUAAAGUUUCUACUUCAGUUUCUGUAACAUUAAAAUUUUGUUUGAAAAUUUGUUUAUUCAACUGUGACGUGUGUGACAGAAAGGAUUUUAGUCAUUUAAUAUGAGAAAAGUGUGCUAAUUUUGUUGAGACAUGAUUAUAAUGCAAAGUGAAUGAUAGUAUUUAAUUAAAAAUAAAAAAUUAAUAUAUUUAAAUAUAAAAAUAUAAAUGAUUAUAAUUAAUUAAGAAAAAAAAUAUAGAUUUUAUAUAUCGAUAUUACAAUUAUCUCAUUUCCUGUUAAUGCAUCUUGAAUCCUUAAAAUUCUUAUUUUAUUAUCUCAAGAGCUUUUUCUUACUAAAAUUACCAUAAAAAAAGAAAAGAAAUUAGCACCUUUAAAAUUCAUAAAAAGUCAAUUUUUUUUCCCUUACCUUGACCAGAAUAAUAACGUGACUAUAAAUAUGUGUUGUUUAAGUUGUAGGCUUGGACACAAAUGUUUUAAAACCUAAAAAAACAAAUGGUACGACCGUUUCUAUAUUUUUUGUUAUUGUCUAAAAAACAUUGUAGGAGUAUGAUAUAUUAUCUUGAUAAGAAAAAGGAACAAAAAAGACAAGAAGGCUGAGAAUAUAAUUCCACUGUCCUAUAAUUUCUAUGUCCCUAUAAAUCAUAUUUAUACAUAUUUAAAACAUAAUGGAUUUGCCUGAAACACAAUCCGUAAAAGUACAAAUCUCUUGCAAGUUACUAAGCAAUCAACAAUGAACAGGAACAAUCAGAACAUAUGGAAUGAUCCAAGUGUUGACUGCUGGAAUUAAAAAAAAAAAACACAAACAAAAUCAAGUCAAUUUAGGUCUAUGUUUUGAAUACUAUUCUCAAAUCAUUAGAUCAAGAUAAUAUGAUGCAAAAUAAAAAUAAAUUAAUCAUGAAAUCUACUUUUAAAUCAAGCCAAUAUAAAUGAUGCAGUUAGAAAAAAAACUAUUAAGAAAAUGAAAAAACAAAAACAAUUAAGUUAACCCACCAGAUAUAUAAUCUAUGUUAUAAAAGUGUUAUAACUAAAUAAAAAACAAAUUCAAUAUUAAAAAAUUAAAUCAAAAACAAAAUUUUUCUAAUUAAUAUAGAACCCUUACGUUUAUGCAACUUCAAUUAUUGAUUUUAUACCUAUCAUGUCAGUGUUUGUGCUCUAAGUCUUGACUCAAUUUUAUUAUCGCCUUUUCCUUGCACCAUUUCUUUAUCUAAUUUCAUGUUAAGCUUUUUCCAAUAUUUUGUUUUUUUAACUAGAUUUUAUACAUACAUGACUACCCGACGACAACGCUUGCAAUCAUCAUACGCAAUUACUAAUAUGAGCAAGAUUCUCCAUAUAUUUCCACGCCAAAAAAUGAAACUUAUAUUUGCUCAGUUGGUACGUUAACACGAUCAUCAAGGCUAGCUACAAAUCUUGAUUCUGGGCCUUCGAAUACUCAGCUCUCACAUUUUUAUCUAGGAGAGAGCUCACGUUCUCAACCUUUAUUGUAUUCUCAAAAUCAGCAAGAUCAUGAUUGUUUAGCAUCUACAAACAAUCAAUCUUGCUCAUUACAAUCAUCAAAUGUAUCAUACGCUGAAAGUCUUGGUGCUUCUGGUUCAACCUGUGUUGAUCAUGAACUUACAGCUUCUGCAGUUGAGCAACUAAUGAUUGGGCAAGCUUCAUAUAAAAAAAAAAGAAAAAGUUUGUUUUGUAAUUUUGUUUCUCUUUUGGUUUUUUUUUUUAAUUCCAAGACUUUUAGUUAUCCAUUGACAUCUUCUUUGACUCAUUUUUUUUCCUUAGGAAGUACAAAUGAGUACAUUGACUUUGGUGACAAAACAUUCAAAUGCUCUCAUUGCAAGGCUUUUUUCUGGCUUGAUGAGAAGCUUGCACGCUCAACCAAAACCAAUCCACAGUUCUCACUCUGUUGUCUUGGUGGAAAGAUUAGGCUUCCACGACCAUUAUCGACGCCUCAUGUUCUUGAUGAACUUCUGGACCCUGCAUUUGGUCAAGCUUCUAAGAAAUUCCGCACAAAUAUUCGAGCCUACAACUCUAUGUUCGCUUUUACAUCCAUGGGGGCUAAUAUAGAUCACUCAGUCAAUCGUCGACCUGGGCCCUAUGUUUUUAAGAUAAAUGGCCAUUGUCAUCAUUUAAUGGGUUCUCUUUUGCCUUCUGAUGGAGAAACUCCAAAGUUUGCUCAACUUUAUAUUUAUGACACUACAAAUGAAGUUGCAAAUCGACUAGCAUCGUUUCCACAUGGGAGCUCUACUUCAACUUUAGAUGAAUCUGUUGUCAAUCAUCUUAUUGACAUGCUUAAUUCAACUAACUGUUUAGUUGGCUUAUUUCGUCAUGCUUCACAAAGGUUGUCAAUGUCUGACAAUCCUGGAUAUAAACUACGGUUGCUUGGUCAAAGAACUCAUGACUCAAGACAGUAUAAUGACCCAUCUUCAGAUGAUAUUGGUGGCUUGAUUGUUGGAGAUAUUGGUGAUUAUCGUUCAGAACGAGAUAUUGUUAUUGAAAGUUCGUCAGGAACUUUACAAAGAAUCUCUAAAUUGCAUCCAAAAUUUAUGUCAUUGCAAUAUCCUCUUCUUUUUCCAUUUGGUGAAGAUGGUUAUCGAACUAAUAUUAGUUUUGCCAACCAUGAUAAUCAGGUUCCUAGAAGGCGUCAAAAUGUACCAAUGAGAGCUUUUUAUGCAUAUCUUAUUCAUGAGAGGGAAUAUGGUGAAGACACUAUUACAAAAGGCGGUCGUCUUUACCAACAAUUUUUAGUUGAUGCGUUUACCAAUGUUGAGGAAGACAGGCUUGAUUACAUUAGAAUGAACCAAAAUGAUCUUCGAACUGAGCUCUAUCAAGGCAUUAAUGAAGCUGUUCUUAGAGGGGAUAUUCAAGGGUCAAAAACAGGAAAAAUUAUUCUCCCCUCUUCUUUAACUGGUAGCCCGCGAUACAUGAUAAAUAAUUACCAAGAUGCUAUGGCCAUUUGUAGGGCAUAUGGAAAUCCAGAUCUUUUCAUCACAUUCACAUGCAAUACAAGCUGGCCUGAAAUCCUAAGAGAGCUUAAAAAAAGCAGACUUUAUAAACAUGAAGACAAGCCUGAUAUAAUCACACGUAUUUUUAGAGCAAAGGUUCUUGAUAUGUUGAAGUUCAUCAAAUCUGGUGUCCCUUUUGGCAAGACAAUUGCUGGUAAUUAGGCCUAACCCAUUUCUUUUCUUUCUCAUCAUGUAUAUCUUUAUUUAUUUAUUCUUAUUUGAUUUCAUUUUGCAACUUGAUAGAUGUAUGCGCAAUUGAGUUUCAAAAGAGAGGGCUUCCACAUACACAUAUUUUGGUUUGGCUUGCCUCUGAAUUUAAAUGUCGAACUGCUGAUGAUGUUGACUCGAUUGUUUCUGCUGAAAUACCAGAUAAGAAUAUUGAUCCUUUAUGUCAUCAAAUUGUCUCUAAGUUCAUGAUACAUGGUCCAUGCGGCGUUGCAAAGCCAAAUGCACAAUGCAUGCUGGAAUCUAGAUGUGCAAAGUCAUUUCCAAAAAAAUUCAAAGACUCAACUGUUUUUGGUGACAAUGGGUUUGUUUAUUAUAAACGACGUGAAUGCCGCACUAAUUUUGUUCUCAAAGAUGGAAUUAUGCUUUGCAAUGACUAUGUUGUUCCAUACAAUAAAGAACUUCUAAUGCGGUAUAAUGCACAUAUAAAUGUUGAGAUAUGCUGUCAAUCAAUGCUCAUCAAAUAUCUAUUUAAAUACGUCAACAAAGGGCCUGAUAGAUGUCGUAUGGUGCUCCAAAAUGAAACAAAUGAUGAGAUACAAGCAUAUCUUAAUUGUCGUUUUAUUUGCCCCUAUGAAGCUGUUUGGCGUCUUUUCCAAUUUCCAAUCCAUUCAAGAAACCCUCCAGUUGAAAGACUCCAGGUUCAUUUGCCUUUUCAACAAAAUGUUGUCUUUUCAGGUAGCGAGUCUCUCCAUUCUGUUCUUAGAAGGCCGGGUAUUAAUAAAACAAUGCUUACUGAAUGGUUCGAAUGCAACAAGAAAGAUUCUAAUGCACGAGAACUUUGCUAUUCAGAAUUUCCAAGCAAGUAUGUAUGGGAUGCUAGACAAAAAGAAUGGGUUACAAGAUCAAAGGGGUUUAGCCUUGGGCGUUUAACAUAUAUACAUCCUGCUGCUGGGGAACUUUAUUUUUUACGAUUGCUUUUAAACCAUAUUAAAGGGCCGACAGGAUUUGUUGAUUUAAGAAAAGUUGAUGGGAUUGUUUAUCCAACAUUUCAACUUGCUUGCAAAGCAUAUGGGCUUUUAGGCGAUGAUAAAGAAUGGUCUGAGGCUUUUUUGAAGCCAUCGCAACUGCAACGUCUCCACAACUUAGACAGCUUUUUGUCAGCAUUGUUUUUUUUGUGAAAUUGUUGAUCCUUUGGUUUUAUUCAAUCACUUUUGGCAUUCAAUGCACGAUGACAUCCUUUAUAAGUUGAGAGCAUCUUUUAAAAUGCCAAAUUUGAUUUUAUCUGAUGAUCAGCUUAAAAAUUAUGUGUUAUAUGAGCUUGAACAACUUUUCAAUGAUGCUGCAACAACACUUCAAGAUCAUAAACUGCCAAUGCCCAAUGGCCAAUUGUUAAUUGAAAUUAGAAACAAGCUUCUAAGAGAAGAACGUAAUUAUGAUCUUGCUGACCUUAAGAGUCAACAUUCAUUAAAUCUCCCUCUUCUCAACAAUGGGCAGAAAAUAAUAUAUGAUUCAGUUGUUGCAGCUGUCCUUCAAAAGAAACAAAGUUUAAUCUUUGUUCAUGGUCAUGGAGGAACUGGGAAAACUUUUUUAUGGCAUACAAUCAUCAAUCGCAUCAGAUCUGAGGGGUUAGUUGUCCUUGCUGUGGCCUCAUCCGGUAUUGCAUCUCUUUUAUUGCCAGGCGGUCGUACAGCUCAUUCAAGAUUCAAAAUCCCACUUACUGUUGAUGAAUUAUCAACAUGUGCCAUCAAGAAAAACACACAUCUCUCUAGCCUUCUUGAAAUAACUUCUCUUAUAGUUUGGGAUGAAGCACCAAUGAAUAACAGGUGUUGUUUUGAAGCCCUUGACCGUUCAAUGCGUGAUGUCCUCUCAGGGUGUGACAAUUGUAGUCGAGAUCUUCCAUUUGGCGGUAAAACAGUUUUGCUUGGUGGUGAUUUUCGCCAAAUAUUGCCAGUUAUUCCUGGUGGAACAAAAGAAGAGAUAAUUAAUGCUUCUCUAAGCAGCUCAACUUUAUGGCCCAAAUUUACUCUAUUAACUCUUACAGAAAACAUGCGUCUCUCUACUCAUGGUCUGGCCGCUGAAGAAAGAACUGAAAUCAGCGAAUUUGCUAGGUGGAUUUUAAGCAUUGGUAAUGGUGAUAUCUCUGAUUUGCCUUUCUCUGGUGAGUUAGAUGAUUCUUUUAUUAGUAUUCCCUCAGAUUUACUCCUUCAUACUUCAUGUGAUCCAAUUCCAGCCAUUGUCUCAGCAAUUUAUCCAUCUAUUUCUGAGCCUCAAAUGGACCCCUGCUAUUUUAGAGAAAGAGCCAUUGUAACACCGAAAAACACAACAGUUGCUGAAAUUAAUGAUUUUGUGCUUGCUAUGACACCCGGCGACAAACAUAUCUAUCUUAGCACAGAUUCUAUUUCAACGUCAUCAAGAGAGACUGACAUUGCCAAUUCAUUAUAUCCAACAGAAUAUAUCAACCAACUUGAAUUCAAUGGUGUGCCAUCUCAUACACUUGCUUUGAAAAUCGGCACACCGGUCAUGUUGCUUAGAAAUAUCAACCCAUCUAUUGGUUUAUGUAAUGGGACAAGACUUAUAGUGACACAACUUUCAGCAAGAGUCGUUGAAGCACAGAUAAUAACUGGGUCUAAUAUUGGUAAUAGAGUUUUUAUACCAAGAAUUAUCUUUCCAAUAAAUGAAGGAAGGUGUCCAUUUACGAUAAAAAGACGUCAGUUUCCUUUAAGAUUGUGUUACGCAAUGACAAUAAAUAAAAGUCAAGGGCAAUCAUUGAAAACUGUUGGAGUCUUUCUUAAAGAACAAGUCUUCACUCAUGGCCAACUUUAUGUCGCUCUCUCAAGAGUCACUUCAAGAAAGGGUUUAAAAAUUAUCUCAUGCAAUGAUCAAGGGGAACCUUCUCAUUAUGCAAAAAAUAUUGUUUAUAAGGACAUUAUAAGCGCUCUUCUUAGAGGUUGUUUUUAAACCCUUUUUUUCAUAAUGCUCUGAAACAAAUCAAUCAAUCACUUAUUAUUUGUUCAUCGCUCUUUUACAGAUGAUUAGAUUUCAACUUUGCCUUCAGAAGUGUUCCUUCUUUUCCCCCUUUGUUUGGUCGCCUGUUAUAUAGCCUCAUUAAUACAUUUGUAAGACGUUACUUCACAUUUUUACAUUGCAUUUGUAGCGUUUUAUAGUUAUUAUAGUUAUUGGUAUGUUGUAAAUUAAAUUCCUUUCAAAUUUAAAAUCAUUAGUUCUUAUUUUAUUUAUUUUUUCCCUUUCAGGAUCAUGGCGCUGUCUAUCCAAAACAUAAAAAAAUACAGCUUUUACACAUCCCUUCAUGCUAGAGUUUGUCGUGUUUGGAUUCCUAAGCUCAAUGGUCAGACAAGUAGUUUUAAUUGCCUAUUUGCUGAUAACAUGGUAAGCUCAUCUUUUGCACUUUGGUUUUUAUAGCUAUUUUUCAAAUUUUUUUAUAGUUUUGAAAACGUUUCGACCGAGUAUCAUUUAUAGAUGCACAAAAACAUAAAAUUGCUAUUUUUUAUUCUAUUAUUUUUUUUCAUCUGCAAUUUUACAUUAUAUUAAUGUAUGAUUAUAUAUUGAAUCCUUUUUAAAUUAUACAUUCUUAAUACAAGAUUUAAUUCUUUUUAAACCUGUCUUUACCAUUAUUGAACAACAUUGGUCAACCCUGUCUUUACACUAAACACAACCUGAAAACCUUAAUUAAUUAGUCUAAUAAGUUGUUGGAUAAUCAUCAUCUAAAGUCUAAACAUCUUUGUGAUUUGAGCUUCAUUUUUUGUAAUCAAAUUACAUUUAGGUUACAAUAAUGUGCACUAUGCAAAUAUAUUCAUGAAAAUCUAAUUCCUUAAAAACAAUUUCCAUUACAUAAUAAAAUGAUUAUAAUAUAAUAUAUUUCCGAUCUGUGUACUUUUUUAUAUCUAAAAUAAUAUUAUACCAACUAUUAUUGCAAAACACAUUAAAAUAGUCUUUUGAUUACAAACAGCUAUCCACAUGAUUCCAUGUACUAAAUAAAAAACACCAGACUUCCUUAUCUUUACCCUUUAAUAUUUACAAACUUUAAUCUAAAAUUGAACAUUGUUUUUACAAUUCAAUCCAAAAAAACAAAAACAAAACUUAAGUGUUAUCCAUUUGACAUCAUCAAAUAAAAAAUAACAUGACGAGCAGACCAUGAUUGAAUGAAUUAUUUGUAUACUGUAUUUAUUUUAUUUUAUUAAUUAAAAAGAUGACAGCAAUGUGUGAUAUAACUAUAGCAAGAAUUGACUUCAAUUUAUAAUUAUAAUUUAAUUAUCAUUAUCAUUAUAUCAUUAUAAUAUAUUUUAUAUUUUAUAAUAUAAUAAAUUAUAUGAAUAAAAAUUGUCAAAUUAUUUUUAUUUUAUAUGACUAAUGAAUCAAUGUUAGCUUUAUUCUUUGUUUUUUGUGCUCAAUUUUAAUGCUAUCUCAUUUAUAAUAGUUUUCAUCAUGAUUCUAUAGGGUAACGCAAUACAGGGCUCAGCUAAAGGCAAGGAUAUACAGUUGUUUGCUACUUCUAUUAUUGAAGGUGAUUACUACCAAAUCAGUGGAUUCUAUACAUUUGAAAAUAGAUACACCAACUCCGUUGUUGCCCACGAAGCUGUUAUUGAUCUUAAGUCUGACACAAAAGUUGCAAGGCUUAAUCCACUGACACCCCAAGUACCACGCCAUUACUUUAACUUCAUCGACUUUGCACAUUUGUUGACUAAAGGAAAAGGAUCAAGAACACUCACUGGUAUGAACUACAAUAAAAAAAUUUCAUGAUGCAUUUUAAUUACCUUAUUGGAUUUGUUUUUGAAAUUGCUAACAUGUUUUAAAUUUUUAAUCAUAAGAUGUACUCGGUCGAUUAAAAGCUAUUCAGCCACUUGAGCAAGUGUUGGUUCGAGGUCAAGACAUAACAGACAAAAAAGAGUUUAUCAUUGAAAAUAUCAGGUUUGGCUUAUUCUAUCUGCUAUAAGAACUUUAAUAGCUUAUUUUUUACUUUUAAUCUUUUGUGCAGGGGAGAUGAACUUAGGAUAACUCUUUGGGGUGACGUUGCCAAAAGCUUUGAUGAUUCUAUUUUGCAUGAACACACAAAUCCAAUUAUUGUUGUUUUUGCUGGCUUUCGAGUCACUGAGUUUAAAGGUUUGUAUUAUCAAAUAUUGCCCUUUAAAUUUUCAUAAUUCUUAAGUGCUCCUUCCAUCUAUUUGCACCUUACAUCAUUUCAUUUAUUUUCAAAUAAUUUAAAUCAAUUUGCUUCCUUUUACUCCAGGAAAACCAAACCUUGCUAGCACUGUUGCCUCCUUAUGGUAUUUCAACCCAGAAAUUCCUGAGAUUCUUCCAUAUAAGCAUUAGUAAGCUAGCUCCUUUUCUUUUCUUUUAAUCUCGCUUAUUUUCUGCAAUUAUUAUUUUUUCCUUUUGACAUAAAACUACUUCUAUUCUCAGCUAUAAUCAGCUGCGGUUGAGGUCUAUCAACUCCCUGCUUCCAUGAAUGCCAUCAGAUCCAUCGAACAACAAAUAAAUGAAAACAGGAAGACUAUCAAAGAAAUUCUUUGUAUGGAUCCAUAUGAACACAAAGUAUGUCAACAAUAAUCUCAUUCUUUUACUUUGAUUUAUAAAUACACAUCAAACUAUAUUUUUUUCUCAAUAAUUGUAGAGCGAAAGAUUUACAUGCAAAGCUUCCAUAGCUGACUAUGAUCUCCAUAGAGGAUGGUGGUAUCAAAGCUGCCCUUUAUGCACAAAAUCAUUGUCUGACAAAGGCACAAUUUUUAGAUGCAUUGAACACAAUGAAGUAACGCCGGUUCCAUGGUUAAGAGCUCUUUUCUAUUGCUUUUCAUGUCUCAAACUAAAUUAUAAAUUUUCUUUGCAUCUUUUUAACAAUAUCUUAUAUUUAUUCAUCUCACUUCUAAACAUUUUAUCAGGUUCAAAGUUGAUUGUAUUGUGGCUGAUGGCAAUGAUGUUGCAACAUUUAUAAUGGUUGGAAAAACUGCUGAAAACUUCUUUGGCUCCUCUGCCCAUUGCUAUCUCUAUGACAAAGGGUUUAUUGAUUGCAUCCCACCUCCCAUGAUUGAAAAAUUAAACAAGGACAAGAUUUUCCAGCUGAGAUUUGGAGCUUUUCGCUCAGUUGUUAACCGUUGUGACAUCAUUGUUACCAAUGUUUUUGACGACAUUGUAACUGCUGAGGCUCCCCCCUUGCCUGAUGAACCAGAGCUGCAUAUUGUUGAUGUUCCUCUUAAUAAUCAAGCAGCUUCAUCAUCCUCUAAAGUUGCCUCUCCAUUAGACCCAACAACACCAACACCUAUUCCACCAUCUAAAACUAAUGUUGAUUUCUCACAACAGCCACAAGUGUCCCCAAACCAACCAUAUAUGGGCGGUCAUUUUCUAUCACAAGCUAAAAGACAGUUGUUGUUUGAAGAUGAAACGCAUAUUCAAAGGUGACAAGCUGCUCCUUUCUCUCAUUUAAAAGUUAUUGCCUUUCAAUCUCAACAAUGUUCAUUGUUUCUUUUGAUUUUAUGAGUAGCAGAUACAUAACUUAUUAAUUUAUUUUGGAUCAACAGCUCUGCAAUAGCUGUUGUGACUGAUCCUCAAGGUGGAUUCACACCACUUGACCGUGAUACAUCAGCCAUCGCUGAUGCAAAUGAUCCACCAAGCAAACGCCAACGCCCUUUUAAACAAGAUCGUCAUUAGGUAAUGUUAACGGACUUGCCUUUUAAUUUAUCUCAUCUUACCUGUUAUCAUGCUUUUUUAGAAAAACUUUCUUGGCACAAAUUAAAACACUUUCAUUCUUACCUUUAUACCUUUUUCACUAUACUCUUCUGUCUGCACAUAUCUUUACUUCAUGUUAUUUAUUUCGUUGUUCAUCCAUUCACCCGAAAAGUAUAUUGUCAAAAUCCAUAUUCCAGUUGUAUUAAUGCUUAAGCUUAAUUCAAAAAGUUAAGUAAUAUGUGUGUAGCUGAAACAUAUCAUUUGUCCAUAAACAAUACCAAAGAGCUUCUUCAACUGGUGUCCCAAAAAUUCUUGCCUUUUGUCUGCGGUUAGUACUAAUGAAGCAUAUAACCUAUUGUUACAACUCAAAACAAAGAAAUAGACAUUUUAUUUCCUCUAAACAUUUCUACUACCAUAGAUGAAGAUGCAGUUUAUAAAAAAUGUUGGUCAUCAGAUCAACCUAUAAUUUUAGUCACUUAACAUAAAGUGUGAUAAAUAGAACUAACAACACAAAGUUGUUGGAUAUGUAUUAAAAAAGAAUUUAAUUCUUUCCAAAAAAAUUAUUUGCAAAAUGUUCACAACUUAAAAAUAACAACAAUAAUAAAUUGAUAAACAACAUUCAUUAUUCUUUCUUCACUUAUACUAAAUUAUAUAGUUGGUGUUGCAAUUACACUACAAAAUUGUUUUCCCAUGUCCUUUCUAUCAGUUACAUCAAAGUUUAUAAGACUUAGUUUAGAAAAAAAAUAUUGAAUUUAUUACCUGAGUCAUCAUUAUCAUUAUAUGUUGACGGUGGCAAAAACCAAGUUAAUAUGCCCUUAGUUUUUGGCUUCUUUACUAUCAUUUUAAACUUUAGUUUCUUCUUCUUCUUUUUUUUACAAAUUAGUAGCACAUUUUCUCCACCUUUCCUUUCAUUUUUUUCUACUUUUUCCCUUUAUUUCACCACUAAUAAUGCAAGUUUCUUCUUCAUUUGCAGGAAAUCUCCAUCAACAGGCUGCUUUCCUAUUAAUUUUGCAUGCCCCUACAAACUAAUGCAACAACAUUUAACUCUGUUAAAAAGCAAUGCAACUCUUUAAUGUUGUUGUGGCAUCGUUUUGUUUAUAAUUAGUUAUUACAUCUUUUUCCUAAUGUUUUUUAAAUAGAUAUAAUAUUUUGUGUGUUGUUUUAUUUUUGAAAUAUAAUCAAUGACCCAAUCAGUCUUCUACAACCACCUCCAAUCAUGUAAGUCUUUCAUCUUUUAAUAUCUCUACAAUAUCAAUAUUUUUCACACAAUUUAUUCUAUUCAGUCUCUAGGUUUUUAAUCACUUACAUAAAUCCCCCCCAUAAAAUAUUAGUUUAUCUAGCAUUACUUUAUAAUUAUAAUACCAUCAUAGAUAUUGUUUCUAUAAGCCCGCAGCAACGCGCAUGCCACAACUAAAUAAUAUGGGGAAACACAGUGCAUUCCUCCUUUUUUUUUUCCGCUUUUCCUUUUUUUUUUUUUUUUUUCAACUUUCCUCUUUUUUCAUUUUUUUUAAAUAUAUAUCAUUCAAAAUACAUUUUUUUUAUAAGCUCGCGGCAGCGCGCGGGUAUGUCAUCUCGUAUAUAUAUAUAUAGAAUGAUGCAAACUUUUAGACUUUUACUGUUUUCAUCUUUUCUACCCCGGUCAAACAAUUCUUACUGUGUAAAAAUAUAAAAUAAUAACCACUACUAUUUGUUUCGAACUUUUAACUUAUAGAAGUUGAUGAAAGAACAAUUAAAGAUAACCAAGAAGCUUCUGAUAAAGAAGCAGAAACACGUUGCGCAGUCAGCGCAUGCUUUCAACUUACACCUCGGUAACUUACAAAGGAUCUCUGUUCAUGUGUGGUCCUAGUGGUGCAGCAUUGCUCUUUUCGUUGUAAGAAAGAAACCUAAUUAAACUAAAGGAUAUAUAUUUACUAACCUAAUCCUAUUUUCCAUCCCGUCCGUAAUAACAGCAAUAAUGACCAUAGCAACAGCGCAAGCAAAUCAUCAUCCAGUAACAAUAUGCUCAUAUUUGAAACGACAGAUAGAUGAACUCGUGUAAGGAUUAUCUAUACAGAGAAGCAAGUCCAAUACAAAUCCAUUGGUCCCACAAAAAAGGCCAAGAAAAUCAGCUCAACUGAACAUUUUUCCUUGCCCUCUUGCUCACCCACAUAUAUAUAAAUGUGUGCCUUGGUGCUGUGAUUUCUUCAAAAACCAGCUACGUAUAUACAGCAGCUGCACAUAUUUUGUGAUUUAUCACCAAAAAAUAUUGUUGUAGCUGAAAAUAAUGAGAGGUUUCUUGCUAUUCUGCUUGUUAAUCCUUUUGCUCGUACAACAAUCGAGUUGCUCCAUCCAGCAAGAAAAGCGACUAGAAUUUCAAGAAAAGCUGCAAAAGUUUACCACCUCUUGUCAUUCAUGUCAAAAGCACAAAACUUCACGCAAUAAGGUAGUGAGAGGCUAUUGAUAUAAUAUUUCAAAAAAAAUAAAAAUGUCAAUGAUUAAUCCCCGAAGAAUAUUCCAACUUCUCCUUUUAAUUUUCACUAAAUUGAAUGAUAUAUAUAUUAUUUAUUUAUUUUUCUUCUCUCUCUUGAUGUGUGUUAUUUUGAAGGAGAGAGUAUUUUAUCCAACGAAGUAUGGGGCGGACCCAACGGGGGAGCGAGACAGCAGUGAUGCCAUAUUGAAAGCUUUAAACUACGCAUUUCAAGUGAAAAAUGAGUUUGAGCUGUUGCCUGGUAUCAAUGACUUGGCCGGCGUUGUGAUUGAUUUGCAAGGUGGAAACUACAAAAUCAGCAAACCCAUUAGGUUUCCAGCUGGUGGAGGCAAUGUCCUGGUGAGUAUCCCCGUCCUGUUCAUUCUUAUCCAUAUACAGCGAUAUUUUACAUAUCGAUCAUCUUUUUUAGAAUCUCCAUAAUAAGUAGCACUAGCUUCUGAACUGAUUAAAAAAAACACUUCCAGAUCAUUUUUCUCUAGACUAAAUACACUUCACAAUUAAUUACUUGCUAUAUUAUCAGAGAUAAUUCAAAAAAUGCCACAUUCUUCCACUGAAAAUGAAAUAUUUUUUCAUAAUGUUUACCUUGAAAUUUCUAGUAAAAGAAAGACUAACAAUCGAGCAUGUUGACUAAUCCAUAAGGUACACGCGGGAACUUUGCGGGCAUCUGAGGAUUUUCCAAGUGAUCGUUACCUCGUUGAACUGUGGUCACCAAGUUCGACGGUAGUUCCCAAACCUUCCAAUAUCCAUCCCGACGGGGGAGAGAAAAAAAAUGUUGGGAUAUACUACGAGGACGUCACCUUUCGGGACAUCCUGUUCGAUUCAAGCUAUCGCGGAGGGGGGAUGUUCAUCAUUGAUUCAGCAAGAACUCGCAUUCAUAAUUGCUUCUUUAUCCACUUCACAACCGAAGGAAUUCUAGUCCAAAAGGGCCACGAGACCUUCAUAUCAAGUUGUUUCCUAGGACAACAUGUAACAAUUGGUGGCGAUCCAAAAGAAAAAAACUAUACCGGAACUGCCAUUGAUCUUGCAAGUAAUGAUAAUGCAAUCACAGACGUUGCCAUUUUCUCAGCUGCUAUUGGAGUAUUACUAAGGGGCCAAGCUAACAUUCUUACCGGGGUACACUGCUACAACAAGGCGACUGGGUUCGGUGGCGUAGGGAUUUUAGUGAAACCACAAGGAUCCUUGACUAGGAUGGAUAAUUGCUACUUAGAUUGGACAGCUAUAGUCAUUGAAGAUCCUGUUCAAAUUCAUGUGACUAAUGGUUUCUUCUUGGGAGAUGCUAACGUGGUGUUAAAAGCAGCCAAGGGUAAAAUGUCCGGGGUAACCAUUGUGGAUAACAUGUUCAAAUCGGAUGCAAAUUCUAUGAAUCCUAUUGUUCAAUUAGAUGGGAAUUUUGCUAGCAUUGAUCAAGUGGUGAUCGAUAACAACAAUGCCGUCGGUAUGGCCGUGAAAUCAACGGCCGGGAAGUUAACAGUGCCUGGAAAUGGGACAAAAUGGGUGGCAGACUUUUCAUCCAUAUUAGUAUUCCCAGAUCGGAUUACUCAUUUCCAGUACUCUUUCAAUUUUCAAGGGGUUCCUGUGGCAUUCCCAGCACAUGGAGUGACCAGUUUAUCAAACAAUGUGGUGGUUGUCGAGAGUGACAGAAGUGUUAAUGGAGUAGUUUAUGUUGCUGUUGAUCAGUAUAAUAGGAAGGGAGAGUAGAGAUUGAAAUUGUUCUAAAUAUUUAUAAUAUUCAAAUGGUUAUUUUUGUGAAUCCACUAAAUAUGCAUACAUAGCUUAUUUAAGAUUUGUAUUUGAUACUCCUGCUGCAAAUUUUGUUUUGUUACAGUUCUAUUGCAAAUAAUGUUUUUCCUACUGAAAAGAAAAGGAAAAAAAGUUAAGAUGAUGUUAGUGUUUUUUUUAAAAAAAGAAAAAUAUGAGAUUUAGAUUAUAGACUUAACCAUAUUUAAUAAGCUUGAUUCAUUUAAUAAUAUAAUUUUUUAAAAAGCACGUAAAUAAUAAUAAAAAAAACUUGUAAUUAACCAUAAAAAAUAAUAAGUCAGUGUUAUACUCUUAAUGAGAAGAAAGAAAAUUCUGUUAGAGAUCUAUUGUUGCUCCACCAUGGAUAUAGCUUAACCAUUAAAACAGGCUUACGAAGACAAUUCAACUAUCAUUACAAAAGACCACUUGACGACACUACGGCACCAAGAAAGGUUGCAUGUAUAGUUAGAGCAAUAACCUAAAAAAUAAACUAAAUAAAAUAUUUUAAGAUGAGUAUUUUAUAUUUAUAUUCAAUCAAUCAAUUUAAUAUAAUUGAAAAACAAAUUUUUUUAAAAAAAGAUAAAUAAAAAAACAAAAAAAAACCUGAGUUAGUAUCAAAAUAAGAGAAAGAGCUUAUAAAAGGCAAAUAUAUAUAUAUAUAUAUAUAUAUGAAAAACAACACUAAGGCCUUGGAAUUAAGUUAUAAAACAUUUGCCUUUAAAGUCAAAUAAUUCAUUUCAAUAUUUAAAAAUAAAAAUAAAAAGAUGAUAAAGCCUUUAGAGCCGGACUCAAAAAUUUUGCUUUUAAAAACAAUUAAAUAAUUUUAUUAUGAUGAAAAAUUAUGUAAAGACAUCGUUCAUGACCAUUAAAAAAAAGAUCAUUCUACCCCAUGUAAGGCUUAAUAAUUCUUAAUAAUUUUGAAGUGAAGGGCAAAAUCACCACUUCACUUUUGUAAUUCACCGUGCAUUGCCUCCCAGGCCAUAAUGCACACAUUGAACACUCAUGGUUUUUUUUUUUUAAUGGCAAUCCUUUAAAUAAUAUAAUAUUUUUUGUUGAUUUUUUUUGGCAUAUUAGUUUAUAUAUUUCUUAAUUUGUUUUAAAAAGUAUAAAUAACAUCCUUUUAUUUUUCAAUUAAAAAGAAAUAUGAUGCUUGAAAACGUAUAUAAUGCAAGUAUUUUCUUCUUUUACAUUAGAAAGUGACUUGAAAUUCUACCGGGUGAGCAAAAGGACUGGUUUUUACUAAACCAAAUUUAUAACUCAACUGCUCCAAAAUGCAAAAGGAAAAACAAUAAAAAUAAAAAUACUCAGUUCCCAUCAGCCACAAGUAAUUAAUUUCAGUUACUAUUUUUUUAUAGAACCAAAUUUCAAAUAAAAAAUGGCAUUAAAUUGAGAUUAAUGGCAAAUUAUAAAACUACCAUGGUAAUUAUGAUCAUUUAAUGUCUUACGCUAAUAACUCACAGUGCUUUACUGUUGUUCUCGAGGUAAAAAAACAAGGUUUGUAACAGACAAGAAAUUAGAUCUAAUGCAAAUAGAAAACUUAGAGCUUCGUCCUCCAACUUGCUUGUUUAAUUCUCUCCUUCUCUCUCCCAUGUAGAUUUCUUUCUCUCUUUCCUUUUACAUCUUUUCAUGUUUUCUGCUUAACAUGGCCGAAGAAUUGGACGUUAACUUGAAUAUCAUAUUUCUUUCCAUAGGAGUUUAUGUUGGCAGAUCGGCCGGCAAAGAAAAAACCCAUGACCUCCGUCGAAGUGGCGUAAAUUUAAGACAAUGGAACCGUUCUCAGCAUGCUGUUUUAUUGUAUUAAUUCUUGUACAAGGUGCGACUUGUUCCAUCACACGACAGAUCAUGACGAUAAAACUCCAGAAAAAGCUACAAGAAAUGGAAGGCUAUCGUCCUGUCAAUGCCACCUUGUCAUUUCCUAAGGCAUCAAACACCAAAAGGGUGAGACUUUCUUUCUGUAUUACAUUGAUCGACUUCAUAUACGUACAAGUAACAAUCAUGUGAAUGUGUGUGUGCAUAUUGCUACUGGGUUUUAUUUGAUCAAAUAACGUUCGUUGGAUGUCAUUGAAUUGUUAGAAUGUAGGGAGAGUAUUUUAUCCAAUUGGGUAUGGAGCAGAUCCAACUGGCGCACAGGAGAGUUGUGACGCCAUAAUGGAUGCUUUAUCCGACGCUUUUCAAGUGCAAAAUGGGCUAGAAUUGCUGCCUGAUGUCCAUGACUUGGGUGGUGUUGUAAUUGACUUGCAAGGUGGAAACUACAAGAUCAGCAAACCCAUAAGGUUUCCUUCUGGUGGAGGCAACAUUGUGGUUAGCACUCUUCUACACAUGACUAGAUUAAUUUCUCUUCAAUUAUCUCAUCGGAACAAUGUUUUUCUCUGAAGAAAAAAAGAUGGUUUAAAUUUGAAACGGGAGGAAAGUGGAACAGAGUUAUUUAACCUUGAAGCAUGAAAACUCUUCGCGUGCUAAUUAAGAGACUGAAUAAGAUUUGUGCUUUUUUUUUUUUUUUUUGAAGUCUAAACUCUUCCGACACUUGGCAUUCCUUCAGAAGUAUUUGUUUCCCUUCGCAUAAAUUAUAAUUAAAUUUUGGAUAGUUCGUAUUAGCGUAUAUAUAAAUUACGAAUCUCUAACCUAAGAUAUUGAUAUGAAAAAUGCUCUACAAUUAGGUGAAAAAAGGGACAUUGCGAGCAUCGGAAACCUUUCCCGGCGAUAGGCAUCUUAUUGAACUAUGGUCACCAAAGUCUAGGAUGCAUAACAAAAGGUUUAUUAUGAAGAUAUCACCUUCAGGGAUAUUCUCUUUGAUUCAAACUACAGAGGCGGAGGGAUUUUCACUAUGAACUCAGUCAGAACUCGCAUUAAUAAUUGCUUCUUUAUACACUUCACAACACAAGGGAUUUUGGUCAAAGAAGGCCAUGAGACCUUCAUAUCAAGCUCCUUCCUUGGACAGCAUCCAACAAUUGGCGGGGAUAAAAACGAGAAUAAAUUUUCAGGCACUGCCAUUGAUCUUGAAAGUAAUGAUAAUUCAAUCACUGAUGUUGUAGUUUUCUCAGCAGCCAUUGGUGUUCUAUUAAGAGGAGAGGCAAAUAUUCUGACAGGGGUGCAUUGUUACAACAAGGCUAAUGUUUUUGGUGGCAUAGGAAUUAUAGUAAAACCAACUGCAUUUUUAACUAGGAUAAACAAUUGUUACUUAGAUUUCACCAAUAUUGUCAUGGAAGACCCAGUUCAAGUUCAAGUCACAAAUGGGCUGUUCAUCGGAGAUGCCUAUAUAGUUUUACAGUCAAUCAAUGGCAAAAUCUCGGGAUUAAACAUUGUGGACAACAUGUUUAAAGGGGAAGGCAGAAACUUGAACCCAAUAGUGGAAUUAGAUGGAAAUUUCACUAUAAUUGAUCAAGUGGUGAUUGAACGUAACAAUGUGAGGAGCAUGAGCUUGAAAUCAACAGUGGGGAAACUAACUGUGGCCGGAAAUGGAACGAAGUGGGUGGCGGAUUUUUCGUCGGUGUUGAUAUUCCCUAACAAAAUUAGUAAUUUCCAGUAUUCGUUCUAUGUUGAAGGUGUACCGACAGGGAAUGUAGUGCAUGCAGUGACCAAUGUAUCGGAUAACAUGGUGGUCGUGGAGAGCAACAAGGUCGUCAAUGCAGUUGUUUCUGUGGUGGUUGAUCAGAGUAGCAUGGUUGAAGAGAUCAACUACUUGUAAUUAUUCAAUUUUGCUUUUACUAAAGCUAUAACUAUAUGUUCGUAUAUAACUAUAUAUUGUUUUUAAUUUUAUAUAUUAACAGAUAUAUUGUUUUUUUAUAUAUAUAUUAACAAAUCAAAAUGAUUUAAAAACAUUUAAAAAUAUUAUUUUUUUUAAAAUUUUUUUUUUUUUUUUUUUUAAGAUUAAUUAAAUUCAGCUUUUAGAAUGAUGGAUUUUCUUCGAUGUUGCAUCCAAAAUUCAAAUUCAAAAAUUCAAGGAAGGUCAAAAGUCAAAACAAACCUCACCACCGGAUGUUAAUUUUUUUAUUAAUUGAUUAGAUGCAAUGUAUCUUGCGACAGUAUAAAUGUAAGUCUAAGAUCCUUUCUAAUUCACGUUGUUGUUGAAAAAAUUUCUUAGCCAAGAUAAAUUUCAAGAACUCGUGAUGCACUUCUCUAAAGAAAGAACACAGCAGCCACUGGAAUAUCUGGCAGAAGCUUGCGGGCUUCUACUCAACUCCAGUGAAGACCCUGCUGAGAAUUAGUCGUCUACUUUUUCCAAAAACUUGUUGUGUGAUGCAACUUGAUGACAGCAACCAUUUGGAAUCGGGGAAAAUGUUCAAGAGGGAGAGAUGCUUUUUUCUUUCUGGGAAAGCGCAUAAACAAAAAGCAAGAAAGACAGUGGAUUAUCAAGUAAGCAUAUCCCAGGCCAACACUUCACCAAUCAUCUUGCAACCACCAUCCACUGAGGUUCCUUGUCCUUGAAUUCAUGUUCCCUUGGUGUUUUAUGUAACAUCUGCUACGUGUGUUUCUCCUCUCCACCUUUUCCCUCUCUAUCACCCAUACUUACCUUUCAUUUUCUCUCAAAUUCUCAUUCCCUUCUUCAUGGCUGAAGCUUCACCGUCUCCCACACCCAGUCCCACAAUGAGCGCCCCUUCACGCCAUGAUCAAUCCCAGGAACCGACCAUGGAUUUCAAUGUAAUGGUCAUAGUUGCUGCAAUGUUAUGCGCCUUCGUUUGUGCCUUGGGCCUCAAUUCCAUGUUACAAUGUGUAUUUCAAUGCACACAACGUACGGUAACGGAAACAGCAGGAUGGAUAUCUUCUAGCAGACAGAACUCCGGUUUAAAGAAGAGAGAAAUGGUAGGUUUGCCAACUUCAACUUAUGCCCGUCAAGGUUCACCAUCAUCAACUUCAGGUUGCGCUAUUUGCCUAGCAGACUUCACCGACGGUGAUAAAAUAAGGGUCUUGCCUAAAUGCAACCAUGAGUUCCAUGUUGAUUGCAUCGACAAGUGGCUGCUCUCUCACUCUUCAUGUCCUACUUGUCGACAUAGGCUCAAGUCCAUUGAUGAACCAGUGCCUUCUCUGGAGCAGAUAGUCACUGUCUAACGAAGUCAAAAAUUAGUUUGAGUGUUUAUAUAUAUGUGUGUGUGUGUGUGUGUGUGUGUGUGUUUCUCCUCUUCUUAAUUGGCUAGCCCUGGCCUGGUUUCCUGCAUCAUUAUUUCUUGUAGUAUGUUAAACAGAAUUGCAAGUAAACUCCAAUUGUAAGAAUUGUUUCUCCUCUCCAUUUUUUUUUUCACUCUUUAUCUGUGUUUGGAAGACGUGGCUGAAUGGCCACCAUUUUAAAAUUUGUCAUAUUUCUUUUGUCAUAGCAGCAGCUGACAUUGAUUUUUCCCUGUUGGGCUGCAAGUACACAUAGGGCAUAUGCCGCAUAUCAUUUAUUUAGGUUUACUAUUUUCUUUGCUCUGCAUCUUCUGCUUCUGCUUCCUUAUAUCAAGAAACUCUUAGUUCGAGGGUGGAUUAUUUUUUGUUUUAUUUUGGUUUAGUCUUUUUUGUUUCUCUGUCAAUUUAAAUUGCGUUUAUUCUUUCCUCUUAUUCCACAACAUCUCAAUAGCUUCAGAGGGUUAUUCACUAGUUUCAAGUAUGAGCAAACAAGUUUUUGCAUCAAAUAAGCAUAAACUUUCAAUAGCUUCAUAGCUUAUUCUCAUUGCUUCUAAUUUUAAGAUAUAUAUAUUUAUGUUGCUUCAUCUUCUUUUGAAAUAAAUUUGUGCAGGUAAAAUGGUACUACCGUGUGAUUCUUUCGUUAGUGGAUGCCAUUUUUCUUGGUGGGCAUAUUAAGUUAAAUUUGAAGUUGAUAUUGAUAUUAAAUUAGCUUUUAAAAAGUUAAAUUAAAAGGAAUGCAUCAAAAUUAAAAUUACUAGAAAUGCAUCAAAAUAUUUUUAUUUUAUCCUUUAAAAUUUAUUUUUAAAAUAAUUACAUCAAAAUAAUUCAAAAAUAUCUAAAAAAAUAAUUUAAAACUAGAAUAAUAUGGUUGGACAUCAAUAACGUAAGAAUAUAUCCACUACUCAAUUUCACAAUUUUUUUUUAAUUGAACGGAAUUAGAAGAAGAGAUUCAAUUGAAGGGAUUUCUUUUUAUAUUUUAUCAUGCCAUCUACUUCUUUAUUCUCUCUCCUCUUUUUUCUUCUAAGCAAUCUAUAAAAAAGGAUGGGUUGCUAUUAAUCCUCUCACCCCUUGUCUUUUCAUUGCAUCAUUGCCCAAGUGUGUCAAAUUUGAAACUCUUAAACCUUAAGGAAAAUGCAAUCUCGAAGAUGGAUUGGACAUUUGUUGCUGAAAAAGAUAUCAUGAAAGUUAACUCCACCUUGUAUGUGUGAAGGACUUGCAAUUGCACGGAUUUUCGACAUGAUGAUUCGGAAGCCUGUAGGACAAUAUAAAGCAAGCAAUAAUGGCAUAGGACAAUAAUGACCAGAUUGCUCUUCUUCUUUAUGUCUGGUGGGGUGUUUUGUCGUUGCACGUCUAAGGAAUCAAUAUCCACCACCUACUUUGCUCGCAUUCAAUUCCACUUGCUGAUUUGAAUGGAAGGAUAUGUGCAUGUGGUGAAAAUACAAAUCAUUUGAGACAUUGAGGUUACCGUACGUGUUCUUGCAGUUCCAUCUUGCUGCUGGUACCACCUUUCUUGGCUUCAGUUGACUAACAGUGCAAUUCAUGUUGAUGUUCUGAACUCAUAGACAUUUCAAGAGUGUAGAGCUUGAGUCCUCUGUAAGAAAAAAUCAUGGCUAAGAUUAGAAGAAGAAGACUCAUAUUUAUCAGAUGAGAUUUAGACCCUGGCUUAUAAUUUUAACGAAACAUGUUAGAAAAAUGGUGGGGGCGAUGAUGACUGCAGAUCUGGUGAUGAUAAUAAAUGUGGUGAAUGAGGUGCAGCAACAGUGGCUGUGGCAGCAAGUGCUGACAGCAGCCCUGUAGUCAUCGGUGUCAACAGUCGGGCGUUUAUAACAAACAAAAACGGAUCAUUUUGGUCUCAAACCCAUGUUUUUCUCAGAUGUAAAAUCCUGUAACAAGAAAAAGGGAAUUACAAACUGCAAAGAUAUUAAAUUCACACCCUUAUUUAUUCACAUAGAGGACCAACCUCAAAUUUUAGACUGCACGAAUUUUGCAAACAAUAUUCCUCUCCCAAACGAGAACCGUCACAUAUUUCUACACAAACAUCAAAACUGUAGUAUCGGUUCCUAUCAAAUAACAAAUAACCAAAGAAGCUAUUCAAAUGUCCUAGUCACUGUAUUCUUCUUCUGUGUCAUCAUCGUAGUAGUACUGAUCAUAUCACCAUCACCAUGGUAUCUAUCAUAUAUAAGCCCUAUUAACUUCUGCUUCGUCAGUUUCUCUUGAAUUCGCUCUCUGAAUUUGUUCCCUGAUAGAUAUGCAACCAAAAUGUGCCAUAGCAUGCAAAAAGAAAUCAUCCAUGCGCAUACACUACCACCUACUUAAUUCGGGCCAGGAAACAAUGACUGACCAUUUUAUGACAGCGUUCUUCAAACAUUUCAAGAAAUCCAGCGACCAAUCUAUCAGCAUUCUCCACCCACUCAUUCCGAUGCACACAGGCUGUUUUAGCGACUACUUGUAUCUGCGCAUGAGGGCAGAAUUUACAAUCCAAUUAUAAAAAACCAUCUGCCACGUGGUAGUGAUGCAUAUAAUUGAUUUCUGGUUCUCUUCUAUUGAAUGGGAAGUGGUGCGCAACAUUAAUGGUAGCAUCUCACAAGAAUAUUGAUUAGCUAGGCCUACUCAUCUUUGAGUAAAACCACCACUAGGGUUUGUUUGCAAUGAGAAGCAAACUUAAAGAGGGAUAGGGGGCAGAUAUGGGGUGAGUGAGGCUCCUAAGGCCAAAGGACCAAUUAGAGCACCAUUACACUAAUAACUUGCAUCAUGUGUUUCCAAAAGGGAUCCCGGCAUAAUAAAUGGAUGGUUCAGUAUAACAGAUUAUGCUUACAAAACACUUCCAAUACUGAUCCUAACAGCAAUAUGCACGUGCUUAAUAAAGUAGGAGGCUGCUAUAUGGUCUAAUCUUAACCCAAAUAACCAAACUGCUUCAACAAUUAAUUUGAACAUCAGAUCGCACCAGGAUGGAAAGUGGGCAAAGAUUAAAGUCAAGACACUUCAAACCUAAAACAUUAGUUCUAAAUGAUGCUAUACUACAACAUAACAUGAGCAACCAUUGCACACGGGUGAAGCAAGAAAUCUUGUUUUGUUGAGAGCAAUCAGUUAAUUUCUAGCCCCCCUCUCCUUAAUCUAUUUGACUAAAAUUCAUAUGGUAUUACUUGGCUGCAGAAGCAAGAAUGUGGGAAGAAAAUGAAUGAUCAAGCAACAAACCCUAAGGCUUCAAGGCUACACAUCCUAAUUCGCAACAUGCUAUCCUAUAUUUGCAACAGCAUUCAAUCAUGCAACUUGUCCAGAUAAAUGGAGAAAUUUAUGUGUUUCAAUAUAGGAUGCACAUAAGGAAAUUUCUGAAGUUCCAGCUUCACAAAAUCAUUUUGUCUGCACAGAAGCACUUAAAACAAUCCUUACAACAGAUAAUUAUUGCAAAUCUAAAUUAAGAGAUGCUACAGUGUAAAACAAAUGAUGAAUUUCUUGGCUGGUGUCAAGUUCUACGCUAGAGUGAUGAUUGCUAGAUUUCAUAAUACUGUUGGCAUGCCAGACCAUAUUAUGGUGUCUUUCUAAAAUUAGUUUGUCCUAUACUGCCUCCACUCUUCAGCACAUGUGUGAAACAAUAUUUAGGGUUUAAUCCUUGUUCUUCGCACAAUUACAUCUAAUCUAAAACAAGGAAAGCGAAAACAAAAUGGCAUGGUGAAUUCAUGACAAGAAGAAGAAUAUUAUUAUCAAAUUUGUACCUAUCCCUCAAACAAAGAACCACAAAGUCUCACACGCAACAAAUUGUCAAAACACAUGCCAUGCAAGGUCACUAUUAACUAUUAAGUAUUAGCAAUUUUGCAAGACAAUUUGCAUACCUUUUCCCGACUAUCUCCUGUUUCUUCACUUUCUCACGCAACUUUUUAAACCCCAUGUUAACUCUCAGCCGUUUUUCCUAGUAAAAGAGGAUUGGGAAUGAAAAAGAUCAAUUCUCCAGCAAGAACACAAUGGUCAGAACUCAGAAAAAAGAAAGCAAAUAAAGUAAAGCAAACCUUCACAUAGCUGACACCCAAAUCUUUUCUUGUAUAUCCACGUGCCAAAUUACGCAUCACAUACUCAUUAUAAUCUUUAACUAUCCUCAUUAUAACAUCUGAUGUGGAGAUCCCAUCAGUCCGCUUUGUUUCCUUAAAUCUCCCAACAGACUUAACCUGUACGAACAUUUUGUAGAAAUGCAUUCUGUUGAAACUAGUCAUACUUUGUUGUAAUGGUGAUGAGGCUAUUAAGUAAUCAUGAUUUGCCAGGUCAAGAAAUUAUGUCAAAUAUUAGAGUAUCCUGUCGUUUCUAUGGAUUUCAGUACACGUGAAAAGUCAUCAAAACCACGGGAAACUAUAGUAGAAAUGAACAGAAAAUUGGCAAAAUUAUUUGGUCAUGAACAUUUAAGAAAAGCCUUAUAAUGGCGACUAAGGAAAUUGAUUGACAAGAUACAGGUCAAGAAGCAACAGUUGAGUGAGUAAAAGGUAUCCCAAGCAGUGUUUUUAUGAGUACAGAUAGAUUUUGAAGGAGAAGAAUGGAAAAAUAUAUUUUUCCCAUUUCCAUUAGAGGAACGGUUUCAAAUGUACGAGAUGGUUAAAUCAAGAGAAACUAAAAAAUAAAAACAAUGAACCAGUCUUUACCAAGGCAAGUAAUGCCAACAUUUUUAAAACAGAUAGUCAUAUACAGCUCAGCAAACAAUCAACCAAAGAAUUUAGACAUAUUUCCCUCUUAUGCAUGAGGAAACAAUCACAAAGAUGGUCCCCGUAGCUGUGAGAAAAUACAGGUAGCACUGACGAUAUGAUAGCAAAAGCUUCUACGUAUUAGUUCUAGCAGCACAUAAAAGAUUAGCCAUGGUGAUGGAAGAGGAGAUGAAAGCUAUGAAGUAAUGAAGUAAGCCAGAUAGGAAUGAUGCCAGAUAGAACCAGAAUUUUAUUCUAAUCACCAUUUAUUGAAAGGCUUUAUCAAACCAUGUUGAGACAAUUCUUGUGAUUACCAAAGCUCUGCUAUCACUAAACUUACAAAUUCAUAGACAUCCUUUCCAGCCCCACUUGCAUCAGUAUAACUACAAUUUUAGGGCAAAAAAAAAAAUUAACAUAUUAAAAAGCAAAAGAACUUAAACAAGAACAAAAAACACUCAAGAGCACAUGAAUGCAUAUAUUAUGGUACAAAAUGCAAAAUGAAAGCACUACCAAAAUUACAUGUCAAAUGAGGGCAAACAAGAAAAAUUAAAAUAGCAACGAACAUAGGGAAGUUAAAUGAACAAUUUUAUGUAACAGAAUCAACAAUGCACUUGUUGUAACUUAGACAAAAUGGAAGGAAUCAAAGAAGCAAACACUACAAAUAGGGUCAGUAAAUUAAUUUGAAGUAGGUCUUGAACAUGUGUUGCAUAACAAGAAAUAGAAGCAUUAAACACAGCACCUGCACUUACCAAAAAACGUAUACACAUGGGGAUAAAUUUAGUUUCCAUGCAGUUUAACAAAUGGUUCAACUAAAAGUUAACAGGUCAUCUAAUUCAGCAAUGAUUUUCUUCUUCAAAUAGAAAGACCAAAACAAUGCAAGCAUGCAGUUUCCAUGAUUUUUUCUUCUUUUUUUUUAAUUGUUGGAAGACAAGCAGACAAGUCCAUUUGGACUGAUUAACCUUACGGAAGAGAGUCAUGAGCCACGUAGUCGAUCCUAUGUUUGUCGAGAAACUCUUGUGUGAUAACCCAUGGUGCAUCAGGGAUAACUUCAUCAACCCACCUGCAAAAUUUACAGUCAGUCAACGCCACAUGCACUCUAUUCCCAACAUAGAAAUUUCACUUGGCCAAAUUUGAUAUCUAAGAUAAAAGCAGACAACUAGGUUUUGCCAGCAGACAAGUUCCUGGUACGAAACAAGUCAUGUAAUUAAAACUGUGAAAAUAAAACUUGUAAAAAAUUAACCUGAUCAAUUAGCCCUGUUUUUCAUUGAUCACUAUGAAUCAGGAAUACCAAACAGAGACAAUGGGAAUUUUUUUUCGCACGGAAUACUAUCUUGUGUGCAGUCUAUACAAUUCAGUUUGUCGAAAAAUCAUUGAUGCCAGUAAUGAGAGAUUAAGCACAUCUGAAGUACGGCGGCAAUCUAUAUCCAUGAAAAGUGAUAUCUAGGACGCCAUGAAAUGAACAUGCAUAGCAGUUAAUCAUUUGGGAAUAUUUUGUUUCCCUUUUUAUUUUUUAUUUUUUUUCAAACCAGAGAAAUGGAGAUUCAAAAAUUGAAAGCAAAACCUACCUGCAAUGGCGAAGAGACUCGUAGCGUUCUUGAUCAGUCAUCACAGUUUUACCCUUGUAUUUGUGAGUUACUUCAUCAUUGCAGCAUCCAACCACCAAAAACGUGUUUGGGAAUCUAUCAAAUUAAUUAAUACUAUUAUUUGUAACCGAAUUUUGAAAAAAAAAAACAGUAAUUGAAUUAAAACAGGAGAGAGAUAGUGAGAGUGAUAAUAAUUAAAUAAUUAAGAUACAGUUUCUUGGCUUGCUCGAGAGAACGGGCAUGGCCAAAGUGGAAGAGAUCGUAGAUGCCGUCUGCAUAUACUCGUACUGGCCUCUCCUCCUCCCCCUCCAUUGCCGCCUCUACUAGCCUCGAGCUCUUCUUCGCCUUAUCUUCCUCCAUUAAUCUAUUUAUUUAUUUUUGUUUUGUUUUAUGGAGUGAUUCUCUCUUCAAGUAAAGAAAGGAUGAAAGACUUUAUUUAGCGUUGCUUGGAACAGCGCUGAAACUAUAGACUGCGCUGCGCACACAGAAUCUCUCUCUCUCUGUCUCCUUUGACAUCACAAACCAUGCUUCUUCUUUUUUAUUAUAUUUGUAUUUGAUUGGUUAACGAAUUUUCAGACGAUAGGGCACAAAAGAGAAUAUUUCUUCUCCAAUUAUAAUUUUUUUCCUGAAAAACAAAAACCGGGACCCGAAGUCUAGAACCCAGAAAAAAAAAAAUGCAAGCAGAUUUUAUUCUCAAACACUUGAUUGAUUGAUGGAAAUUAUCUGUUAAUUUUACCAUCAAUUCUCCUACUGCCCUUUUUUUUCAGAUGUAAUUUGCUGAUAAUAUAGUGUUUUUUUUUUUUUUUAAUUUUCAAUUCGAAAAUCUUCUUCUUCUCGUGUAUGCUUAUUGUUUUUUCUAUUUCAUCCUAUCAUAUGUGCAGCUGGUCAAGCAAAUUAUAGCGAUGGUUUUUUUAACGGGUUAAUUUAUUAUUUUUUUAUUUUUUAAAAUCCAACUAGCCUAGGUUUUGGGUCAACUAGAUCAGUCAAUUAAUUCGGCCAAGUUUUAUAAGGAUGGUAUUUUCAACCCUCUUAAGCUUAUAAUAAAAAUAUUAUUGCUUCCUUUAUUUGGUAUUUAAAUUUCUUUUUCAAAAAACAAAAUUUACUUAAGAAAAUAAGGAUUUUUUUUUAUAUCAAACUUUAAUAAUAUUAUACCUACCUUUUAUUUUAGUAUAGUGAGUCACCCCUAUUUUUCCUUUAAUUAAUGGUUGUUUUAUUUAAAACGUUUUACUUUUACUUUUAUUAUUUAACAUUAAGUCGAUUGAGAAUUGAGUAUUAUAAUUUUUUUUUGUUUAGUAUUUGCAGGUUUUUUACCAUCUCAAACAGAUGCUUUGAUAUUUAGUUUGUUUUUAAUUUUACAAAUAUUUUUUUUAUCAUAUAGUUAAAUAAAAAAAAAUUGAACUCGAUUGAGUUUAUGAUCUUGAUCUAUAUUUAUCUCUUAAUUUUUCCAGUUUCGUUUUUAGUUAAUGUUAAUGACUUGUUUUUUCAUUAAUUGACAUGGAACAUUCUUAAUUUAUUUAAUUAUAUGCAUCCAUAACAUUUUUUUAUUUAUAUUUUUUUUUAUGUAAGAAAAAAUAUGUCAAAAAAGCAUAGAUAUUCAAUUUUUUUUUUGUUGGAAAAACAAAUAUAUUAUAUGAGGAGUGUGAGUCAAAUAAUUAGUAAGAGAAUCUAAAAAGUGUUGGAAAAAUAGUAUAGCAAUCCACAAUAAAAAGACAAUUUCACCCUUUACAAAACAAUUUACAUGACUAGCUAUUGGAGGUAUUAUGGUUCUUUCACAAGGUUUCAUUAGUCAUCAUCAUGUUAGUGGAGGAUAAAUUAAUCUUUUUUUAUUUUUAAUGCGCGGUAAAAUAACUACAUUUUCCUUAAAAUAUUUUUUAAAAAUUGAUGCCUAGGGUCAUUUUGUAUUUUUAAUUUUUUAAGAAUAGUUAAAUGAUUUAAAUGUCAUUAGAAGUGGAAUUUUCUUUAGUUUAUGUUCAAAGAUAUUUUAACAUUUUUCACUUUGAUUUUUUUGUUAUUAGAAGUAAUUUUGUAAUUUAAAAAUAUAAAUAUUAUUAAAAAAAUUGUUGAUAUGCCAAUUUGAUGACCAAACACUACUUUCUGCAACAACAUUUAAAUAGUCUCGGCGUUUUCUCCAUGAUGAGAUGGCAAGUGUUACAAAUAAUGGGUUAAUUUGAUGUUAAUGAAUUUUUUUUUCUCCUUUUAAAUCUCUGCCCUUUAAAAUUUCAAAACAACCAUUUAAUUUAUUAUUCCUUCAUAUUUAAUCCUUGUUCUUUUGAUUAAUAUUUGUUUUAUUCAAAUAAUUUAUAAAUUUAAUUUUUUUUUUUAAUUUCAUCCCCAUCAUUUCCUAUCCAAUUCAACUAUUAUUUUCUAAUUAUUUUUUUAUAUAUAAUAUUUUUAAUUAUUUCUUUUAAUUUUAUCAUUCAAUAUUAAAUUAAUUAUAAAUUAUUAUUUUUUUAAUUUUAUUAUUUAAUAUCAACACAUGGUUUCUAUAAACGAAUAUUUCGCACACCGGUAUCGAUAAUUUACAAUGAUAAAGUGAUGUAAUGUGGUUUGAAGCCAAUCUAGCUGAUCAAAUCCAUGCCAUUUUCACCGCUAUGGUGCAUGUGCACGAUAUGAUAUGUUUUUCGGUUGCAGAGAUAGUACUAGAUAAUUCUACUUGAAUAAAGUGCUCCAUUUUUACUCACUCCUUUGUUUACAAAAUCUCUGGUUUUAAUGGAUUUAAGCAAUGUAUCAAAGAGAACUUAAUCAGUACCAGCAAUCUGCAACCUCAUCUUGCGUGUCCUGCACCUGCUGCUUCUUUGGAGGUCCACAAGUUUUCAUGUAUCCUCUAAACUGGUCUUUCCCAGGUUUGGCAAGAUCAACAAAAAUUAACCUGCCAUCAAGAGUCUGAUGAUAAAAGGUCAAAACAACAUGAGUUUUCCAACUUCAAAGUUCCUGAAAAGACAGUGCAAUGUGAUGGUCCCAAACCUUACGGUCCAUAUUUUCCAGGGCAAGGAUGGCAUCAUCCUGAGAAGUGUAUUGAAUAAAUGCAUAUGGUUUGGACCUUUUAAUGGUUUCAUCCUUCACAAGCUUCACUGUCAUAGAUUGAAAAUAAAAGGUUAUGUAAAAGGUUACAAGCCUUGAAGCCUGUGUUAGAAUUGCAAUGGGAAUCUUUUAAUAUUAUAAAACUUCCAAUUUAAGCCUGUUUUUUGAACAAUGAGGAAAGACGUAUUUACCUUCAGCUAUUUCACCAAAAUUUGAAAACUCCUCGUGCAAAGUAGAUUCACUGAUAGAAUGUCCUAUAUCUGCAAGUCAAAACUCAUAACCAGUACUUCAGAGGAGAUUUUAAAAAAUUAAAACAUCCCUAUAAGAUUAUGAGAAGUUUGACCAUCUCAUUGAAGUUCAAUGAAGGUGCAAAAAAACAACCACACUCACACACAAGAAAAUUGUUUGCAAUGAUAUUCUUAUUUCUUGGCUAGACUCAUAGAAAUCCUUGUUCAAAUAGUCCAUUAUCUUUAAUAUGAAACUCAUGAUGCUAUGCACAACUCUACAGUAUAAAAUGUUCUCUUAUUGGUGUAUCAAUUGUCUUUGUGAACUUUGAUAUUCUUUCAAAUACCAAAAUUAAAGAAUACACACAAGAGUUCCACUAGAAAGAAGGAUCUUGGACUGUCGAAAUAGUUUCUCUUCUACAUGUUACUUCAAAAGGUGCAUGGAUUGAUUGUAUUUGGAGCAGCAUUAUAUAAUUGAACAAGGAAUUGAGACAUGAAGAAAAGCCAUCCCAGUUGAUUACACUUAACUCUCGCCUAAGAAUAGAAGUUUAGAGGCUGGACACCUUGAGACUCCCAUGUGUCAGCUUAACUGAGCAUUUGCAAACCUUUGCAACAAGUAAAGAUAAACAAGGGCAGAACUUGGAUGAAUUUCUUAAAGGGUUCUUGGUUAUGAUAUAAGUACGGCAUUAAAAAGGGACAUUAUUAGUAGUUUUAUGAAACAAGCUAUUGUAAGUUUGAAAAAGUAUUCUACAUGCUGCCCCUGAAGGCAAAUGCUAGAGGAGAGAAUUGUGAGCCCAGCAACAAGGUGACUACCUCAGCAGAUGGCAAAGUCACCAACAUUUAGAUUGUCAUUCUAAUUCCUCUCCUUGUUUUGAAUUUGAAUUGCCAGAGUCAACUAAGGAUGACCAAUAAAAUUCAAACCCCAUGUUGUGAGCAUUUCCCCCGCUAGAUUAGACUUGCAAGAAAUAGAUGAAACAAAUUUGAAACUGAACACUGAAGACGUAAGAUUUCCAUUAUAAUUAUUUUUUUCUUCUUUGAACAAAGUUAAACAUUUUUAUGCAGAUGAACGCCACUUCUAGAGGUAAAACCUGAUUGUCAGAAACAUCUCUUCUCCCUAUAGAAGCCACAAUGAUGGUUAUAAGGAAAAGAAAAGGAGCUAUUGUUGAUGGUGCAUCUUCGGACUCAAUGUUUGAAAAUUAGUUUUCCAACAUUUUCAGGAAUAAAGGAAAUGCAAAUUCUAGAAAACCUUUAAUAAAGAUGUGCAUUGGCAUCAAUAUUCUCUUUGUACCAUCGUAAUAACCAAUUCUGUGCUGACUAGGACUGGUUUUCAUGGAUCGCAUUCAUCCUUCCAGAACUAUGACAUGUUGAGUCCAUGAUUUUGUGAUCAGAAACUCAGUGCGAUUUAAGCUCACUUAUUUGAGCCAAUAAUAUCUUUAACCUCGGUUAAUUGCACAGAUUACAUGAAUAACUUUCAAGCAAUAGCCCAUAGGACUACCUUAGUUCAGUCAGCCCUUAAGCAUGCCAAAUAUGAACAUGUUUCAGUCUUACGCAGGGAAUGGAAGCACUUGAUGCUGACCAAUCUGUUUCAGAAGCAAUGCUGAAAAAUCAUUCCAAAGUCACUGCCAAGACUCAUGGUUCUUUAUAAUUACUCAAAACCCUCUUCUGCAACCAGUAAAGGACCUGGUCCUGACAAAAUAAGAUGGUGGUUUCCACUGAUACUUCGACCUUUUUUUUUUCAUGAAUAGCAAGGGCAGGUUCUAUGAUAAUGCAAGCCCUAUUAUUCUCCAUGAUGCUCAUUCUUUCAAGCAUAACAGACUCAAACUUAUAUCUUUGACAAACUCCAUUAGCUAUCAUUUCCAUGAAUAGCAUGGGCAGGUUCUAUGACAAUGCAAGCCCUAUUCUCCAUGAUACUCAUUUUUCCCAGCAUCACAAUCUCAACUCCAUUACCUAUCAUUUUCCACGGGGAAAAUUUUCGAAAAAUUCUGGUGCUUCUUUCCAUCAUAAGUAAAGCAAUGCAACGAAUUCCAUCUUUUUAAACCUAGACAAGCACAUUGGCCUGCAAAAUGAUUCAACUUCCUGCAUUAGAAGUAAAGCUAGCACCUUGGAAUAUUUUAUUUUUUCACCUCCACAGACCAAACAUUACCAAGUUGUGGAUAUUCCUAGGAUUAUUUCCUGUAAAGAUCAAUGUCAGCAUUCAAAAGCUUCCCCUUCAAAGCUAGCAAAACAACUAAAGCUCACGCAAUUGAAGCCUAAGCAACAUAGGGAUCAAACUACCCAACAACUUCUUGUUCAGCAUGUAUACUUGGAUUGUAUAGACUAAAUGGUCCAAGCCUCAAAUAACUUCAAUACUAUUCAGAAGUCGUCUCCCCACAGUUACUCAUGCAAAAAUAUAGUAUUUGGCCUCAUCUCAUCGCCUGAGCAGUUAGCACCUCUGUCCCCUUCGGGAAACCUUCUAUUCUGUUUGAAAGCAAACUUGAGAAAUCUAACUUUUUGCUCAAAAUAGCCAAACAAAGUGCCUUCAUUGGACCAAUCAGACCCUGGAACUAUUCUCAAGAUCACCUAAUUGCAAGUAAAAUAAAGUACUGGAUGAUAAUUUAUUGAUGGUGCUCAAAAGCAAAACAAAGAAUUUGAUUUCUUUAUUCGGCUUCUGCAAGAAAAGUUUAUUCAAUUGUCUAUUUUAACAUAUAUUUUUUCACGCCAAUAAACAAGAAACUACAAAAGAAAAGUAAUCCAAAGACCCCCACAAAGAAUUAACAGUCAAAGAAGUGACUUACUUGUAACCAUAAUUCUGCUUGCAAGAGGAAAAUUGGGGUUGGAAAUUGAUGCCCUGAGUUUCAAAGUUUUUGGGUUCUUGAAAUUUCUUUGAGAUAUUGCGUUUGCCAACGAGGGUAUGGGGAUAGAGACAGUUGAAAGCGGUCUUGUUUGAGACAUCAUCAUCAUUACCUCCAUGUCUUUUCUCUUUUCCAAUUCCUUACUUGCCUCAGUCGUAUUUCGUAUCCCAAUUAGUUGCUCUAUGCUGCUGCUGCUUAGAACUUCCGGUUGCCCGACUCAACGACCUAAGAGCAUCUCUGAGAAACUAUGUAGAAGAGCCAAAUGCUAAGAUAAUUUUUUAAAUAGUCUAAAUAUAAUUUUUUUAUAUAUCUGUACUUUAAAAAAAAAUAUUUUUAGAAAAACUAUUUGUAUUUUAAUAUAUUUAAUAUUAAUAUAACUAUUUAUUUAUUAAUACUUUAAUAGUAAUUAAUUAAUAUAAUUUCAUUUAAAAUCUUUUUUCAUAAAAAUAUAUUAAACAAAUUUUUAAUUCUUUUGACUCAUAUUUAAGAAUAGCUCUUCAACUUAUAAAUGAUAUUUUCACUCUUCAAUAUAACUCUCUUAUUGGAGUAAUAAAAAUAAAGGAUGAAAGUAAAAAUAUUUUGUCCUUUUCUUUUAGCUUUUUUUUUCUAAAAUACCCUAAAAAAACAUAUGUUAUUGGUUUCUCGAUUUUAAUAAUUGGUUUAGUUCAUUACAUACUAUUAUAAUUACCAUUAUUCAUUAUUAUUAUCAAAUAAAUUGAAACAAUGUAUUAUUUUAUUGCCAUUAUGAAAAAAAGUUUUUGCCUUUUUAUCCUUGAAGUUUGCAUUUUUUUCAAUUAGCUUAGGUUACCUUUUUUUUUUUUUAAUUGUAUUUUUUAAAGUUAUGUUUACGUUGUUCUAUAAGCUUGAGUUUGUUUAACUUUUUCUUCUCUCAAGUUUUUUUAGUGUGUCGUUAGAUGUUUUGAUGUUAAAUGAACAAUUGAUUUUUGCUAUACAUUAUCAAAUAAACUCAAAUAAUAUGUUAUUUUACUAUUCAUGUUCUUAUCAAAAACUAUAUCUGCCUCUUUUUUUUUGCAUUUUUAUCCCUAAAGUUUAUAGUUUUUAUUUCAAUUUGGUCAUAUCACUUUAUUUCUAUUAAGUGACAUCCUUUAAAGUUAUGCUUAUAUUGUUUUAUCAACUUGAAUUUGUUUUACACUUUCUUCUCUCGCUUACUUACUGUGUUGUUAGAUAUUUAGAUGUCAAAUUGAUAAUUGAUUUUAUACAAUACACUUUUAGAUUCC
rnacentral:lncRNA from 1 species